CUAGCAUAUCAAUAAGCGGAGGAAAAGAAACCAACAGGGAUUGCCCCAGUAACGGCGAGUGAAGCGGCAACAGCUCAAAUUUGAAAUCUGGCUCUCGGGCCCGAGUUGUAAUUUGUAGAGGAUGCUUUUGGUGAGGUGCCUUCCGAGUUCCCUGGAACGGGACGCCAUAGAGGGUGAGAGCCCCGUCUGGUUGGACACCGAUCCUCUGUAAAGCUCCUUCGACGAGUCGAGUAGUUUGGGAAUGCUGCUCUAAAUGGGAGGUAUAUGUCUUCUAAAGCUAAAUACCGGCCAGAGACCGAUAGCGCACAAGUAGAGUGAUCGAAAGAUGAAAAGAACUUUGAAAAGAGAGUUAAAAAGUACGUGAAAUUGUUGAAAGGGAAGCGCUUGUGACCAGACUUGGGCUUGGUUGAUCAUCCGGGGUUCUCCCCGGUGCACUCUUCCGGCUCAGGCCAGCAUCAGUUCGCCCUGGGGGAUAAAGGCUUCGGGAAUGUGGCUCUCUCCGGGGAGUGUUAUAGCCCGCUGCGUAAUACCCUGUGGCGGACUGAGGUUCGCGCAUUCGCAAGGAUGCUGGCGUAAUGGUCAUCAGUGACCCGUCUUGAAACACGGACCAAGGAGUCGUCUUCGUAUGCGAGUGUUCGGGUGUCAAACCCCUACGCGAAAUGAAAGUGAACGCAGGUGAGAGCUUCGGCGCAUCAUCGACCGAUCCUGAUGUUAUCGGAUGGAUUUGAGUAAGAGCAUACGGGGCCGGACCCGAAAGAAGGUGAACUAUGCCUGUGUAGGGUGAAGCCAGAGGAAACUCUGGUGGAGGCUCGCAGCGGUUCUGACGUGCAAAUCGAUCGUCAAACAUGGGCAUGGGGGCGAAAGACUAAUCGAACCUUCUAGUAGCUGGUUUCCGCCGAA
rnacentral:rRNA from 1 species